rnacentral:rRNA from 1 species
CCUACGGGAGGCAGCAGUGAGGAAUAUUGGUCAAUGGACGAGAGUCUGAACCAGCCAAGUAGCGUGAAGGAUGACAGCCCUAUGGGUUGGAAACUUCUUUUAUAUGGGAAUAAAACGUUCCACGUGUGGGAUUUUGUAUGUACCUUAUGAAUAAGGAUCGGCUAACUCCGUGCCAGCAGCCGCGGUAAUACGGAGGUUCCGAGCGUUAUCCGGAUUUGUUGGGUUUAAAGGGAGCGUAGGUGGGUUGUUAAGUCAGUUGUGAAAGUUUGCGGCUCAACCGUAAAAUUGCAGUUGAAACUGGCAGUCUUGAGUACAGUAGAGGUUGGCGGAAUUCGUGGUGUAGCGGUGAAAUGCUUAGAUAUCACGCAGAACUCCGAUUGCGAAGGCAGUUCACUGGACUGCAACUGACACUGAGGCUCGAAAGUGUGGGUAUCAAACAGGAUUAGAUACCCCAGUAGUC